rnacentral:lncRNA from 1 species
CUCACCCCUUCUCGUCCAAUGGAAAGUCAGUUUUUCACCCUCUAAUUUUCAUAGUACAUGGUUUUCCAUGCACUAUGAAAUGCUAUACAUGAAUGACUUUUCAUUGUCAGUUAAUUAUGAAAGUGAACUCUUAAUAACUGCACUAAUGAAGUGUACAAUCACCUGAGGCAUUUUCCCUUGGAAAAGAGUCUACUGAUUAAAGAUGAAAGAGCAAAGAUUAAAACAAAUUAUUUUGAAUUUUGCAAAUUUUC